UGCUAUACAUGCAGUCGACGCUUCUUUCCUCCCGAGUGCUUGCACUCAAUUGGAAAGAGGAGUGGCGGACGGGUGAGUAACACGUGGGUAACCUACCCAUCAGAGGGGGAUAACACUUGGAAACAGGUGCUAAUACCGCAUAACAGUUUAUGCCGCAUGGCAUAAGAGUGAAAGGCGCUUUCGGGUGUCGCUGAUGGAUGGACCCGCGGUGCAUUAGCUAGUUGGUGAGGUAACGGCUCACCAAGGCCACGAUGCAUAGCCGACCUGAGAGGGUGAUCGGCCACACUGGGACUGAGACACGGCCCAGACUCCUACGGGAGGCAGCAGUAGGGAAUCUUCGGCAAUGGACGAAAGUCUGACCGAGCAACGCCGCGUGAGUGAAGAAGGUUUUCGGAUCGUAAAACUCUGUUGUUAGAGAAGAACAAGGACGUUAGUAACUGAACGUCCCCUGACGGUAUCUAACCAGAAAGCCACGGCUAACUACGUGCCAGCAGCCGCGGUAAUACGUAGGUGGCAAGCGUUGUCCGGAUUUAUUGGGCGUAAAGCGAGCGCAGGCGGUUUCUUAAGUCUGAUGUGAAAGCCCCCGGCUCAACCGGGGAGGGUCAUUGGAAACUGGGAGACUUGAGUGCAGAAGAGGAGAGUGGAAUUCCAUGUGUAGCGGUGAAAUGCGUAGAUAUAUGGAGGAACACCAGUGGCGAAGGCGGCUCUCUGGUCUGUAACUGACGCUGAGGCUCGAAAGCGU
rnacentral:rRNA from 1 species